GCUUCUUUAGCUCAGUUGGUACGAGCGUCCGACUGAAGAAUAUUCAGUUUUUCUAAAGUCGCCACUGUUUGCAGUGGAUGUUAUCGGGAGGUCACCUGUUCGACCCAGGUAAGGAGCA